rnacentral:rRNA from 1 species
GAUAAACGCUGGCGGCGUGCCUUAGGCAUGCAAGUCGAACGGUUGAGACCGCAAGGUCAAGACAGUGGCAGACGGGUGAGUAACGCGUAGGAAUCUACCUCUGGGUAAGGCAUAGCUGGCCGAAAGGUCAGGUAAUACCUUAUAGUCUCGAAAGAGUAAAGGACUUAACGGUCCGCCGAGAGAGGAGCCUGCGUCCUAUCAGCUAGUUGGUGAGGUAAAGGCUCACCAAGGCGAUGACGGGUAGCUGGACUGAGAGGUCGAUCAGCCACA